rnacentral:ncRNA from 1 species
GAGCGCCGUAUGAGGCGAAAGUCUCACGUACGGUGCGAAACAAGGGAAAAGGGACGCCGAACGGCGCAUAAAUGCGUGCGCGGACGUCCCUUACCUAUUGUUGC